rnacentral:lncRNA from 1 species
UUCUACUUAUAGUCAACACCCCAAUUGUAGCAUACACUAUUCACUUCAGGCAGUACGAAAUCUGAUAUCUUUCGCCGGAGCCCUCUGAAUAUCCGUUUGAGCUGAAAUUUGACAGCCAUGUUCGGUUUUCCUUAACUUAACGAAAGAAAUUUUAAUCUUUCAGUUUCGACCCCGUUUGGUCACCGAAAGCUGUACCGAACUGUAAUCUUUACCAGAUAACUGUCGGAUUUUAUUUUUCACCUUCCGGGUGUCAGAAUGACAUGAAACUUUAAAUCUAGCCUCAUAAAAAAAAUUCUGACAUAUUCCCAGAUUUUCGAAAUUUUCUGACACUGUGCAUUUUCUGCUAAAAUAACAGCCUCAAUUCACACAGAAAAUUCAAAAUCUUCUAUUCUCGCUCUGAUUUCCGCACGAGCUGUUUCCGACUUAUAUUUUACUUCUAUAAGUCCAAUAAAAAUAGUAUCUCACACUAUUUUUAUUUAUUUUUAUUCUUAUUUUAAAAUCCGGUAUGCUACAGACCUCUCUCCCAGUGGUGUCAGUUCCGAAACGCACCGCUUG